CCUAAUUCCCAGCUCUGAAGGCUUGCAUUUUUCAACCUUAGGAGCAUUUAAACCUGACCUGUGAGCCAUGGUUUCUGAUUGGCCCGGACAGUGAUAGUCCUGGUGUCACGACCUGCAGGAUCGGCAAGGUGCUGAUCAGAAUCUCUCCACUCCUAGCCCUCCUUCUCUUCUCUUUUUCCUUCUCUCUCCCCCUCUCUCCUUCUCUCCCCUGUUUUGCCGGAACUCAUGGCGGCUUCACGCCCUCGGUCCACGCCUUCCUGGAUUGGGAACACCUGGGCCUCAUCAGACCAGCUGGUAUAUUAAAAGGAGGAGAUCAGCUGUUCAACGCUGGAUUGUUGUGAAGGCUCUAAUUCCCCGGACCCGUCCCCGUGUUUCCCCGUGUGGAGUGUGGAAGGAGUGACUGGUCGCUAGCGGAGAAGAGAGAGGCUGAACUGAGCGCGUGUGUGAUUUCCCCCGUUUUCCCUGGAGCCCUGCCCCUCACGUCUUGUAUAUAGCACUAACCCCUCACUGUCUGUACAUACACUUGGUGAAGAUCUGUAAAUAAACCGUCUCUGUUUAAACGCUA